AACGAACGCUGGCGGCAGGCUUAACACAUGCAAGUCGAGCGCCCCGCAAGGGGAGCGGCAGACGGGUGAGUAACGCGUGGGAAUCUACCCAUCUCUACGGAAUAACGCAUGGAAACGUGUGCUAAUACCGUAUACGUCCUUCGGGAGAAAGAGUUAUCGGAGAUGGAUGAGCCCGCGUUGGAAUAGCCAGUUGGUGGGUUAAAGGCCUACCAAGGCGACGAUCCAUAGCUGGUCUGAGAGGAUGAUCAGCCACACUGGGACGGAGACAUGGCCCAGACUCCUACGGGAGGCGGCAAUGGGGAAUAUUGUACAAUGGACGCAAUCCUGAUCCAGCCAUGCCGCGUGAGUGAUGAAGGCCCUAGGGUUGUAAAGCUCUUUCACCGGUGAAGAUAAUGACGGUAACCGGAGAAGAAGCCCCGGCUAACUUCGUGCCAGCAGCCGCAGUAAGAC
rnacentral:rRNA from 1 species